UGAGGGAAACAGACAGGGAGAGGAGGAGGAGGAGGAGGGAAGAGGGAUGCUGCAUUUUAGUGAUAGCACAGACUGAGACUGCAGGAGCAUACAGAGGGAUGGAGAGAAUCGAUGAGAGAGGUAGAGGAGCAUUGUCAGAGAGAGCACGACAGGAUUUCCACACAGAUUGUGACAAACGUGUACCUGAGGGAGCAGCAGAGAAGGGGAAAGAGAGGGGGAAAAACUUGCAUCUCUGACCUCAGCAAGUGAAAAGACACUUCUCCUGCACAGGGAGGAGAGAGGAAACCACGUGUAAUCAAACUCAGAGACUAUCAGCAGGCUGUCCUCCCAUCUGUCUUAACAGGAUGCAGAGGUGUCAUUUCAGUGCCCGGGACAAAGAGAAAAGCUGAACGGAUCCUGACGUGUUGUUAGAGAGAGAAGUCAAAAAAAAAAAAAAGAAAGAGAAAACUGAGGAACAGUUGCAAGCCUCUGGAAGGAAAAGGGAGGAGAGAGCAGUAUGAGUCAGAGCACAGCAGCUAGAAUACUGUGUAUUCUGCAUGCAAGAGGAGAGGUGGAGGGAGAUGGAGGAACAAUGAGGGAGAUAUAGGGGGAGGAAAAAACAGAGGACUUGACCAGAAUUGAGCAGUCAUUAGACAGAAGAAGGACAAGAUGAGAAAGAAUCAGCCACACUGGCAGGCAAGUGAGUGAGAUAUAGGCCAAGUGAAUCAGCCUGCUGGAGGGAGAGGAAGGCGAGAAGAGGGUGAGUUUAGAAAGUGGGAGGUUUGAUAUGACUGACGAGGGUUAAGGGAAGGUUGAAUGAAGGUUUUGCUGCAGGGUGGACAGUGAACAAUAAACGGCAAAGGACAGAAGGGCAGACUUAAUGAAAAACUAUGUGAGCAGCUCCAGGGGAGAAAGUCCUCAGUGACUGUGUCUUGCUACAGGGAGGGAACAUUACUGAGGUCUGCAUAUGGCAGGACGAGCUUCCAGAAGAUUGACCAUUAAGAACGAAAGAAACAAUGGAGAGUAGAGGGUUUAAAAAAGAGCACAAAAACAUAUAGGGACAGUGAACAUGGCAAGAUAAGAGCAAAAUUUCACAUCCAAGCCGAGAGCUAAAAAGGAACACACUGCAGACCAGAGGAACAUGUCAUCCAACGCACAACGUCGGGGACGUGGAAACUUUAACUGUGACAGCAACACAGCAAGAGGUUCCUGUUAAAUAUUGAUGCUGACAGGCCACUCUGGAAAGAGCUCGCUGCUUGUACCACAGAGGGGGAAACAGAAGGAAGAAACACAGCUGCUUUUUUAUUCUGAGGGAUUUUUAAACUGGAAUAGACAAGCUGUUAAGUAUGUCAGAUGACAGCCGAGUGGGGUUAAGUUCAAAUGUUGCUACAAAUUAAGACAAGACGUAUAAAUUAGCAGACAGUUGGCUUCCUGGAGGUUCUUUGGUUUUUUGUUUUUCUGGCCAGCUGUGCAAGUUCUUGGGGAGAGUGGAGUAACUACAGAGAGAAGAGCAGGACCUUAUUCUUGUGUGAGACGACAAGGAAGACGGAAGUGAACAUCUGAGAGUUCACUGACACCUCAGCUGGACUGGAACAAUUUCUUCUUUUCUAUGAGAUCAAGGACCAGCCCUGGCUCAUGAAUACAGAUUCAUAUUUUGGACUGACAUGUUAUACCUGCUUUGACAGGUACUCCUGGGGUGCAUCAAUGCCAGAUGAGAGGAGCCAAACACUGGUGAAGCACUCAUGAAUGUUGUCUAUUUUUAUUUUGUCCUGGACUGAUUGGAACUGCUCCAGCUAUCUUGAAAAAAAUGGCCUCAUUACAGAGAUUUGGCCAGUGGAGGAUUGCUGUCAUGGCUUGAGGAAAUAUAAGUGUGGAGAUACUUUGAUGUGCGUAAACACGCAGGAUCCUUUAAUUUGAAGGGGGAUGUAUACUUUGAUUUUGUCUCCAUGACUACAUGAAGGCUACUCUCCAACUUAAUGUCACCAAGACAUUACGAUAGAGACAUCCUUCACACCGACCUGAAUCACAGAUUCCUCAAAACAUCCCGACAGUAACACGGGAAGACAUAACGCCACAGUCUCUAUCCAGUUGCGGACAGACCAGCUGCGUGUUCAUGUGUGUGUGUGGCUGCAUGGGGGCAUAAGGACUGUCGAGGAGCUCAGCUGUGUUUGUGCGUAUGCUUGUGUGGGUGUGGGUAUAGAGGUGUGAGUGUGA